CGCCGGAAGCGCACCGAAAGGUGCGUGCCGCUUGGCGGCCGGCGCACAGGGUGCUGCAUGGCUGUCGUCAGCUCGUGCUGUGAAGUGUUGGGUUAAGUCCCGCAACGAGCGCAACCCCCUGCUGCCUGUUGCCACCACGAGAGGUGGGGACUCAGGCGGGACCGCCGGUGACAAACCGGAGAAGGUGGGGACGACGUCAAGUCAUCAUGGCCCUUAUGUCCUGGGCUACACACGUGCUACAAUGGCCGGUACAGAGCGCAGCGAGGCCGCGAGGCGGAGCGAAUCGCUUAAAGCCGGUCCCAGUACGGAUUGGAGUCUGCAACCCGACUCCAUGAAGUUGGAAUCGCUAGUAAUCGCGCAUCAGCAUGGCGCGGUGAAUACGUUCCCGGGCCUU
rnacentral:rRNA from 1 species